rnacentral:rRNA from 1 species
UGCAUGAAGUUGGAAUUGCUAGUAAUCGCGGAUCAGCAAGCCGCGGUGAAUACGUUCCCGGGCCUUGUACACACCGCCCGUCACACCAUGAGAGUCGGGAACACCCGAAGUCCGUAGUCUAACCGCAAGGGGGGCGCGGCCGAAGGUGGGUCCGGUAAUUGGGGUGAAGUCGUAACAAGGUAUC